CCAGAAGACAGAUGAUUAACAUACUUGCUGCUGAGAUGACAGAAACACAUGGGACAUCCCCCCCCAAAAGUGUCAGAGUGAUGUAUGCACAGGGGAUAGUAGCUUUGUUUCCCUAUCUAGAAGACCCAUACUCACAGCAUGGAUAUGAACAUUACUACGAUCCGGAGAGUGGUUCGGGAUACCUUGCAUGGCGAUUGAAGACCAUACAAAGAAAAACAGCAGAGGAGAAAGG